UUUCAAGCAGUGAAAAGUUUGAAGUAGUGUUAUCACUCCCUGUAAAGAGAGCUAGCGGUUAGUGUAAGUUAGUCAUAGUGAGAGCAUGAAUUACGUUCUUGGAGCUUGAACGUGUAAGUCGCGAUAAGACUUUUAGAGUGGAAGAAUUUUUUAUUAUUCUUCAAGCUGGGUGGUACCGCGUUCAAUUUAUCGAGACGUCCCUGCA
rnacentral:ncRNA from 1 species